rnacentral:rRNA from 1 species
AUCAAAGGUGAGCCAGUACAGGAUGGACCCGCGUCUGAUUAGCUAGUUGGUAAGGUAACGGCUUACCAAGGCGACGAUCAGUAGCCGACCUGAGAGGGUGAUCGGCCACAUUGGAACUGAGACACGGUCCAAACUCCUACGGGAGGCAGCAGUGGGGAAUAUUGCACAAUGGGCGAAAGCCUGAUGCAGCAACGCCGCGUGAGUGAUGAAGGCCUUCGGGUCGUAAAACUCUGUCCUCAAGGAAGAUAAUGACGGUACUUGAGGAGGAAGCCCCGGCUAACUACGUGCCAGCAGCCGCGGUAAUACGUAGGGGGCUAGCGUUAUCCGGAUUUACUGGGCGUAAAGGGUGCGUAGGCGGUCUUUCAAGUCAGGAGUGAAAGGCUACGGCUCAACCGUAGUAAGCUCUUGAAACUGGGAGACUUGAGUGCAGGAGAGGAGAGUGGAAUUCCUAGUGUAGCGGUGAAAUGCGUAGAUAUUAGGAGGAACACCAGUUGCGAAGGCGGCUCUCUGGACUGUAACUGACGCUGAGGCACGAAAGCGUGGGGAGCAAACAGGAUUAGAUACCCUGGUAGUCCACGCUGUAAACGAUGAGUAC